rnacentral:rRNA from 1 species
UACGGAGGGUGCAAACGUUGUCCGGAAUCACUGGGCGUAAAGAGCAUGUAGGUGGCUUAGUAAGUCAGAGAUUAAAGAUCAACGCUUAACGUUGGGACUGUUUCUGAUACUGCUUGGCUUGAGGAUAACAGGGGUGGGCGGAACUUUAGGUGUAGGGGUGAAAUCCGUAGAUAUCUAAAGGAACACCAAUGGCGAAGGCAGCUCACUGGGUUAUUUCUGACACUGAGAUGCGAAAGCGUGGGGAGCGAACGGG